UACGUAGGGUGCAAGCGUUAAUCGGAAUUACUGGGCGUAAAGCGUGCGCAGGCGGAUAGAUAAGUCAGACGUGAAAGCCCCGAGCUUAACUUGGGAACGGCGUUUGAAACUGUUUAUCUAGAAUAUGUCAGAGGGGGGUGGAAUUCCACGUGUAGCAGUGAAAUGCGUAGAGAUGUGGAGGAACACCGAUGGCGAAGGCAGCCCCCUGGGAUAAUAUUGACGCUCAUGCACGAAAGCGUGGGGAGCAAACAGG
rnacentral:rRNA from 1 species